UACGGGGGGGGUAAGCGUUGUUCGGAAUUACUGGGCGUAAAGGGCUCGUAGGCGGCCAACUAAGUCAUACGUGAAAUCCCUCAGCUUAACUGGGGAACUGCGUGUGAUACUGGAUGGCUUGGAUUUGGGAGAGGGAUGCGGAAUUCCAGGUGUAGCGGUGAAAUGCGUAGAGAUCGGGAGGAACACCAGAGGCGAAAGCGGCGACCUGGACAGGUACUGACACUCAACUACGAAAGCGUGGGGAGCAAACAGGG
rnacentral:rRNA from 1 species